GGGCUUUCCCUAGUGUGCUUGCCAAAAGGAGUUGCCACCUCGUUCCAAUAGUCUCCCGUUGUCCCGCAGGAGCUAGUACCACGUGACGCUGCAUUGUUCUCUUUUCUAUGCCCGUAGCUCGCCCCUGGAGAAGGAACACACAAUGAAGACCGAGAGUUUGCCUUCCUCGCUCUGCUGGUUCGCUGUUGUCUGCUAGAUUUUUCAGGUUCUGCCUCAAAGUUCCUGUCUUGAGUUCUUGCCUUGGCUGCCCUCUACGUUGAACUGUAACCUGUUCUGGACCAAGAUGCCCUGAAGGUAUUAAGGGGAGGAGCUACAGCAUGUUACCCCCACAUUCUAAGAGAAGUGACGUUUGGGAUCUUGCUUCUGUGAUGCCGGAAGUGGGUCACUGGCUUGGAUGUGACCAUGGCAACAGCAGCAGCAGAGGAGAGAUGCAGGCGCUCAUGAAGAAUGAAAUCCAAGUAUCACACUACAGUUAAGAGACACAGAAGAUGCCUGACCUAUAAUGGAUUGACUACCGUGGGACAUGUAGGAGCAGAGUGGACGACCUGGGACUGCCUACUUCAGGGUCCACAUUUCCCAGCCAAGCUUAAGGAAUGGAAAAGGCAGGGCGUAGCUCCUCUCAGCUGGAGCUCUGCCCUGUGAUUCCUGCCUCGUCUUUCUGGCUCCACCUGUUGAACUGAAGCGGUACUUUUUUAUUUAAAAAAAACGGAUAGUUUUGCGUGGCCUGAUUUGCCUUUUAAUCUGUGAUUUUUAUCCACCUGUGCUGGCUCGUUUAAGUCAACUUAACUCGGGCAAGAGUCAUCCGAGAUGAGAGAACCCCAACUGAGUAAAUGCCUCCAUAAGAUCACAUGGUAGGCAAGCCUGUGGG